rnacentral:pre_miRNA from 1 species
AAUAACUCAAUUCUUGAGUUUCCGUGUCUAACGUUUAAUCGUCCGUCUUAUUUAAAAAAAAUAAAAAAAUUUAAAAAGAUAAAUCACACAUAAAGUAUUAUUCAUGUUUUAUCAUCUAACAACAAUAAAAAUACUAAUCAUGAAAAAAAUUCAUAUAAGACGGACAGUCAAACGUAGGACACGAAAACCCAGGAAUUGAGUCUUU